rnacentral:ncRNA from 1 species
ACCCCGGUUUCUUUAGAAACCAUCCAUAAAAUUUCUAGAUCUACA